rnacentral:lncRNA from 1 species
GUAGUGGGUUCAUAAUGCAGGUUUGUUUAAAUUCUUUAAUUCUCAGCCACCAGGGCGCGCCACUUUAUCGACACACUUUUUACAAGAGGAAAAGUCGUUCCUAUAUAAGCCUUGUUCUAUGGAAGUUGCAGCUACCUUCACGCUCCGUUUGCGUUAUUCAACAUGGCGGUGCUGAGCAAGUCGGCGUGAAUUAGUAAGGUUCUUUUUAAUCGCCAUAUUAUUUGCACUUUGUUGUACUUGUUGACCUGAAGUGUUACAAUGAGAAGUAAAGAAGCACUUGUUCGUCGUUGACGAUGGGUAGCGGCAGAGCGUUCGCGGCAUAUCGAGAAGUAAUUACCAUCUCAAAUAUGUGACUUGAAUAUGAAAGAAAAAUGACUUUCAAAUAAUCGCUUAUUUGAGUAUCUUAUACGUGAGAUCUCAUUUCGUAUCGUCUUUUUUCAACAAUGUAGCUAAUAAAAAUAUGUUUUCUGCUGUUUUUUCAUUACCAUUGGGGGAAUUGUUAUGUCUCACCACAGCAUGAUCACACGAUCCAACCAUCCGUUGGAGAUAUUUCUAUUUAAUUUAGUGCUUUUAAAGUAGAAUGGUACCUCAGCACCUCUUACUUCAAGAUUGUGCAUUCCGUUAUCUCUGCCCAAUCCGCAAUUCCUGUACGUUAUUGCCUCACAUAUAAGGUUUACUCGGUGUCUCGCGGGGAGACGUUUUGUUUAAGCGGUGAGCUGAGUAUCCGAAAUGUUAUAUUUUUACAUCGUUCUAAGUAACAAAUCUAUAAAUAGAAUAAUAUCAGAAACUUUCAGCUAUGCCUUCUUCGUAUCCAGUUUGACAUUCGCAUUCAAUUCGCCAGUAGUGUGCCGAGUUUUUUUAACAAUUUUAUUUUGCACAUCUAAACCAUCUUGGAUAAUCUGCAAAUUCCAGAUUGUAUAGAUCUAGCUGUGACUUUGUAAUUAGAAUUAAAAUCAAAUCCUGGG